GAUGAACGCUGGCGGCGUGCCUAAUACAUGCAAGUCGAGCGAACAGACGAGGAGCUUGCUCCUCUGAUGUUAGCGGCGGACGGGUGAGUAACACGUGGAUAACCUACCUAUAAGACUGGGAUAACUUCGGGAAACCGGAGCUAAUACCGGAUAACAUAUUGAACCACAUGGUUCCACAGUGACAGACGGUCUUGCUGUCACUUAUAGAUGGAUCGGCGUCGCAUUAGCUAGUUGGUAAGGUAACGGCUUACCAAGGCAACGAUGCGUAGCCGACCUGAGAGGGUGAUCGGCCACACUGGAACUGAGACACGGUCCAGACUCCUACGGGAGGCAGCAGUAGGGAAUCUUCCGCAAUGGGCGAAAGCCUGACGGAGCAACGCCGCGUGAGUGAAGAAGGUCUUCGGAUCGUAAAACUCUGUUAUUAGGGAAGAACAAAUGUGUAAGUAACUAUGCACGUCUUGACGGUACCUAAUCAGAAAGCCACGGCUAACUACGUGCCAGCCGCCGCAGUAA
rnacentral:rRNA from 1 species